rnacentral:rRNA from 1 species
UAGGUGUACCGGAGGUGUACCUGACC